rnacentral:lncRNA from 1 species
GGGGACCCCGUGGCAGCACCCAUAUGAACCUGACCUCCCUGGGGACCCCAUGGCAGCGCCCUAUGGGCCUGGUGACACUGCACCUUUCAGGACCCCAUGGCAGCACCUAUAGGAACCCAGCCCCCUGGGGACCCCAUGGCAGCACCCAUAGGAUCCUCAUCUCCCCAUGAGUUCCUCCCCAUCUUGGGACCCCAUGGCAGCACCCUAUGGGCCUGGGGACACUGCACCUUUCAGGACCCCAUGGCAGCACCCAUGGGAACCUCAUCUCCCUGGGGACCCCACGGCAGCGCCCUAUGGCCCUGGGGACGCUGCACCUUUCAGGACCCUACAGCAUCCCCUUU